AACGAACGCUGGCGGCAUGCCUAACACAUGCAAGUCGAACGAGACCUUCGGGUCUAGUGGCGCACGGGUGCGUAACGCGUGGGAAUCUACCCUUGGGUUCGGAAUAACAGUUAGGAAUGACUGCUAAUACCGGAUGAUGACGUAAGUCCAAAGAUUUAUCGCCCAAGGAUGAGCCCGCGUAAGAUUAGCUUGUUGGUGGGGUAAUGGCCUACCAAGGCGACGAUCUUUAGCUGGUCUGAGAGGAUGAUCAGCCACACUGGGACUGAGACACGGCCCAGACUCCUACGGGAGGCAGCAGUGGGGAAUAUUGGACAAUGGGCGAAAGCCUGAUGCAGCGACGCCGCGUGAGUGACGAAGGCCUUCGGGUUGUAAAGCUCUGUUCUCUGGGAAAAAGAAAGUGAUUGUACCAGAGAAGAAAGGACCGGCUAACUUCGUGCCAGCAGCCGCCGCGG
rnacentral:rRNA from 1 species